GAUGAACGCUGGCGGCGUGCCUAAUACAUGCAAGUCGAGCGAACAGACGAGGAGCUUGCUCCUCUGACGUUAGCGGCGGACCGGUGAGUAACACGUGGAUAACCUACCUAUAAGACUGGGAUAACUUCGGGAAACCGGAGCUAAUACCGGAUAAUAUAUUGAACCGCAUGGUUCAAUAGUGAAAGACGGUUUUGCUGUCACUUAUAGAUGGAUCCGCGCCGCAUUAGCUAGUUGGUAAGGUAACGGCUUACCAAGGCAACGAUGCGUAGCCGACCUGAGAGGGUGAUCGGCCACACUGGAACUGAGACACGGUCCAGACUCCUACGGGAGGCAGCAGUAGGGAAUCUUCCGCAAUGGGCGAAAGCCUGACGGAGCAACGCCGCGUGAGUGAUGAAGGUCUUCGGAUCGUAAAACUCUGUUAUUAGGGAAGAACAAAUGUGUAAGUAACUAUGCACGUCUUGACGGUACCUAAUCAGAAAGCCACGGCUAACUACGUG
rnacentral:rRNA from 1 species